UACAUGGGGUGCAAACGUUGCUCGGAAUUAUUGGGCGUAAAGAGCGUGUAGGCGGCCAGAUAAGUCCGCUGUGAAAUCUCGAGGCUCAACUUCGAGCUGUCGGUGGAAACUAUCUGGCUAGAGUCCGGAAGAGGAGAAUGGAAUUCCUGGUGUAGCGGUGAAAUGCGCAGAUAUCAGGAAGAACACCCGUGGCGAAGGCGGUUCUCUGGGACGGUACUGACGCUGAGACGCGAAAGCGUGGGGAGCGAACAGG
rnacentral:rRNA from 1 species